rnacentral:rRNA from 1 species
UACGUAGGGGGCAAGCGUUAUCCGGAUUUACUGGGUGUAAAGCGCGUGUAGGCGGGGGGCCAAGUCUGCUGUGAAAUCGCCCGGCUCAACUGGGCGGGGUCGGUGGAAACUGGUCACCUGGAGGACGGUAGAGGCGAGUGGAAUUCCCGGUGUAGUGGUGAAAUGCGUAGAGAUCGGGAGGAACACCAGUGGCGAAGGCGGCUCGCUGGGCCGGACCUGACGCUGAGACGCGAAGGCGUGGGGAGCGAACGGG